UCUCCGUUGGUGAACCGGCGGAGGGAUCAUUACAGGACUCGCAAGACUCCUACAACCCUGUGAACUUAACUAUAAGCACGUUGCUUCGGCGGGUGUCUCGGAGGGGGUUCUCCCUCCCCGAGACGCUAAACCCGCCGGCAGCCUACUAUACUCUGUCUCUUUGCGUUGGCAUCUCGAGUACAAUCAAACAAGUUAAAACUUUCAACAACGGAUCUCCUGGUUCUG
rnacentral:misc_RNA from 1 species